ensembl:lncRNA
AGCUUUGGGUGAGCAGUUCACAUCUGUGAACACUGCAAAAGCCAUAACCAUAACCAGCUCCAAUUAGCCUUCUACAUGGCAAUUUUAGCAGCUAGGACAACAACGUGGCUAUAAAGGAUGAAUGAUCCUUUCACUCCGGUGGAUUCACUUCAGGCUCAGUGAACCUGAUUUGGUAGCAUUCCCUGAGAGCAGUUCUGCUUUGAAGAAUAUCAAGAAAGAACAACUGGAGGAAUUGAUGAUGCCAUGAAAAGAUGUAGUCAGUCACCGUCCCACAGCUUACUACAUAUUAUACUUGUGGACUCUAAGAAACAUGGUGAAUAGGAGAGCUUUUAAAGAAGAACAUGAAGUAACAGAGGAAGAGGCAAGCAUGAACAGAAAGACUUGCACAACUGAAAAAAAAAGAAUUUUUCUCAGCAGAAGAAUCAAUUUUUUGUUUGUUUGUUUGUUUUGUACCAAAAAUACAAAAAUACGUGAAGUAGUAUGAUGCUGGCAACAUUUCUUCUUGAAACGUUAUUCUGUAGAUACUUCCUAUGUUUGGCACUAAGAUGGUUGUUCUAUAGACCACACAAGAAAAAUACAAAUGAGACUCUGCCCUGUGAAUUUUCUCUAUAGUUCUGCAGGUAGCAGAAUGCAGCACCUGUUGCCUGGAUCUAAGAUGUGAGGUGACAACACUGCACUUACCAAGUCCAUGCCACACUUCAACUGAAGCAGAUGGAAAACUAAGCACUGUGAGUGUCAGGUCUGCUCAUUGAGGUGGUGUGGGGCAGCAGGGCAUCACACGCAUACUUUGCUAGAUCGAUAGUUUCUACAUGUUUAAGUCAAUAGGACUGAGGACUUGAACCUCAGGAUUCUCUUAAGAAAACGGGAAUGUUAGUAUACCUCCUGAGUGUCCUAACUGAUGUUAGCCUCUGAUAUAUUACUCACAUGAAAGUAAGGAUCUCCCACAGGUGACAGACACAGAUGACCUGCUCAAGUAAAAUCUUACCUUUAUGUCUAAUAUUGAAGAUCAGCCAAGAUAAAAGCAGGAAGAACAGAAACUUUAUGAACUUGGUGGGCCACUUUUCUUGAUGGCAAGACUUUUGAGAUCCCAAGAUGGAAAAUGAAAGUUUUAUCCACGCUAUUAUGUCGUGUUACAUGCACAUAUAUCGACUGAUACUUAUACUGAUGAAAUAUAGUAUAUUGCACAGAUGACCAUCUCUCUCUAAUCUGCCCCAGUGAGGCCACAUCUGGAGUACUGUGUCCAGUUCUGGGUUCCUCAGUUCAAAAAUGACAGGGAUCUUCUAGACAGUCCAGAAGAGGGCCACAAAGAUGAUUAGAGGCCUAGAGCAUCUCCCGCACAAGGAAACACUGAGAGGCCUAGUACUCAUCAGUCUGGAGAAGGCAGAAAGGGGAUGUCAUCACUGAUUAUAAAUAUCUGAAGGGUGGGAGUGAAACCAAUGGGGGUGGGCACUUUUCAGUGGUGUACAGCAAUAGAACAGGGGCAAUGGAUAGAAACUGGAAAAAAAAAAAAGGAAGUUCUGUACAAACACAAGGAAGAAAUUCUUUGCUGUGAGGGUGACGGAGCACUGGAACAGACUGCCCAGAGAAGUUGUGGAGUCUCCUUCUCCAGAGAUCUUCAAGACCCGUCUGGAUGCCAACCUGAGUGACUUACUGUAGGAAACCUGCUUUAGCAGGAUGCUGGACUUGAUGAUUUCCAACAGUCCCUUCCAAACCCUGCAAUCCUGUGAUUCUGUGAUUUAUUAUGAAUAAACCAAACCAUUACUAGUAUAAUAGCAAUUUAAAAUGUUGGUACAUGAUGCAUAUGUAUUGUAUAAAUUUUCAAGUCUACAUUAUCUUACAAGUGAUUUGUUCUGUCUGACAAGAAAAUAACAUUCAACAUAAAAUCUAGUAGAUAUAUUUAGUAUGAAACUUAGCAUCUCUCCUAAGCUGAAAUAUAUGUCAUUCAGUAUUAUUAUCAACACAGAAGUUCUCCAUACCUAAUGGAUUUACCUAUAGCACUUAUACUAGUAAACAUAUCACUAUCAUUCUUAAUUUCUCUUAAUAUUUCAGAUGUUCAACUGAUAAAAUGUAUUGGCAGUCCAAAUUCUUUUAGAAAUAAUAAUAUUUAGCUUAUCUGCUGCAUAAACAAAAUUCAACUGGGAGUAGAAACUCAUCAUAUUGGUGCUAUGUAUAGAAUAAGGCAGUCCAUAACAACUCAAAUUUACAGUCUAGACUGCGCAUAGUGAGUGCCAAAUAAAUGAAACUGCACUGUCCUAGUUUUACGACUGGGGAAAAUGUAGACAAAAAGACAGUUUGUGUGUUUUAUUAAAUAUAAUGCAGAUGCAGUGAUCUGGACUUCAUCCUGCAAAAUAGUGGACCAAGAGGAGUUUUCAUUCCCAGUAAGAAUGUGGAACU